CUGAAGGGCAAACGGAGCUGUGUCAUAUCUUAACAGGAACUGUGAGGAGGGAAAAGAAGGGCGGAAAAAAAAAACCCAAGAUCCGAGGAGGAAAUCAAGGCAACAAACAAGCAAGAUGACACCGUGGUUCCCUAAUUUGGAUCCUGGCAUCACUGGCCAAGCCACUGGUGACAAGAAAGUCCUGUAUUCGUUGGAGGCGCUGGAAAACGACACGGAAUCCAAGCACAUCUCGCAAAAACCGCACAGGAUCCCUGAGACCAUCUAGUCCAACCCCAC